UUUUUAAUUUUUAUUUUUGGGACAGAGAGAGACAGAGCAUGAACGGGGGAGGGGCAGAGAGAGAGGGAGACACAGAAUCGGAAACAGGCUCCAGGCUCCGAGCCAUCAGCCCAGAGCCUGACGCGGGGCUCGAACUCACGGACCGCGAGAUCGUGACCUGGCUGAAGUCGGACGCUCAACCGACUGCGCCACCCAGGCGCCCCUAAAGAUUUUAUUUUUAAGUAAUCUCUACACCCAACGUGAGGCUAGAACUUACAACCCAGAGAUCAAAGUCGUGUACUCUACUGACUGAGCUAGCCAGGCAUCCCUAUAGAUUUUGCUUUUGCAGAGAAGUAAAUAUGGCUUUCAACCAAAAUAUUUUGCAUGUUUAGAUUUAGGAUAAAAUUUAGGCAAGUUGAGAAUGAAACUGGAGGAAAGAAAAACAAUGCAAAACAAAGGAAUCUACUCCUGAAAUCAUUCUUGCACUAUAUGCUAAUUUGGGUGUACAUUUUAAAAAAUAAAAAACAAAACAAGUUAAUAAAAAAAUCUGAAUGUUUAUAUUUAUGAAACAGAUGCCAGGUAUAAACUCUUGGAUACAUUUUUUAAAUGACUUAACAGUUUUCUUUUUCAAAUGCCAAUAUUGACCAUAAAUUUACAUAUACUUAAACUUAAAACUGAGAAUUUCCUUGUCAACUUCAAAAUGUAUGGGGAGAAGAAUUCUGCUUCCAAGAUAGAGAGUAGAUGUACUUUUUCCUGUUCCUCCUGCUAAAGGAAUAGCUAAAGACCAUGGACAUUAUCAUAAAACAAAUAUAAGAAGACUCUGAAAGGUGAAGAGAAACUAGGCUGGCUAGCUACUUCAGGACCCAAGGAAUCACGCAAUGCACGUGAAAAACCCGAGAAUGCUCCUAGAAAUCCCCUUCCUGCUCCUCACGGCCCUCCGCAGAGGUGAGCAGGUGAGUUUGGAAUUGAGGUGAGAAGCCAUCGGAGUCCGACAGAGAGAAAGCUAACACUUCCCCUCCCCCACAACCUUCUCCCCCAACCCUCUUCCCACUGCUGCCUGCCUCCUCAUUCUAGCCCCUCUUACCCCCCUCGUCCAGCUCUCUCCCUCCCCCGCCCUGAACACUCUCUUUCCUCCCUGCGGAGACUAAUUCGCCGCGCAGCAGCCGCUCAGGGGCCACGAGGGGCGGGAAGCUUAGAAGAGACCUGGCCCAGGGUCCUGGAGAGGUGCCAGUCAGGUCGCGGGCCACAUCAGCCGCUCCGGGACUCCCUGGCCGGAGUGUUUCUCGGCCGCCUCGCCCCGCCUUGGGGGUUGGGGGACGGAGCCUGGGAGCUGAGACUGGAGGGGUGGCGAAGCGGAGCACCAGGAUCUCGGCACUGGGAGCAGGAACAGCGCAGACAAGCUGAGAGAACCUCGCGGACGACGACUGAGAGUCAGACCUUUCAGGUUAUCUGGGGAUGGCCCUAGGGGACCCGGAUACCGCACGUCUCCGAGAGCCUGUGAAUAACCCCGCCCAGGUUUAAUCUGGAGGGCCUGGCGGCAUUCCUCCCGCUCCCGCGGCGCCGGGCUCUGAUUGGCGCUCAGCGGAACCAAUCAUAGCCAGGGCCUGAGGUGGGUGGGACCGGAGCGCACAGACGAAGCGGUGGGGGCGCUUUCCCAGGACCUGGUGUUUCAGGUGCCAGCAGCCCCUGCAAGGGGCGCCGGAGGAGUCUCGCUUCGUCUCCCUUCCGACGGCCCUCGCUGAAACGCCUGCUCCCGGGCUUAAGAUUUGGGCUGGAGCAGGCACUGCGGCUGGAAACACGAGGCUCAGUGGGAGGUCCCGUAUUGUGCAAAGUCCCUGAGCGCCUGCCUGGAGGAAGAGGGCAUCCAGUGGCUCUGCAAAUACCUGAAGAACGUGCAGGUGACGCUAAUGCAGGGUGAGAUUUGGGAAGGUGUCCCCCAGGGAUCACCCAGCUGGGGUAGUGCGGAAGGGGUAUGGACUUGUGGAUUUCUCUCUCGUCCUCUCCGUGGCGCCUUGGAGUGAAGUGGGGGAGACUGGGUCUGGUCCGUUGCCCGGAGAGGGAGAGGGUGCUCUGCCCAGACCUUUAGACCCUCCUCUUUAGGAGGUGUGCUCUCGUUCUCCCGAGAUCAGUUACAGGAAUCCCGGCCUCUGGCGAGGCUCCCUGGAGAGUCCUUGGAGUCGUACGUUUAUCCCUUCAGUUCUCAUCACGUUUGUUUGGACACAGAACUCAUUCCCCUUAACCUGAGGUGGCCUCCGUUUGUGCCACAGCCGUCAUCCGUCUCAGACAACCCUCGGGGCCUCACACCGUCUCUGUCAGACUGAGACGAAGUACGGAGGGGUUCGUGGGGAAGGAAAUCUCUUCUCAGACCAGGGAAUAAGCAUCACCAGGGUUCCAGCCUGGAAAGAAUUAUAAACCAUCUCCUCUUCCUCUCUCAGAGCCCUCUUCCUAACUCCUUCUGAUCAUCAUAGACAUAAAUGCUGGCCUUCUCUUCCUCGGUGCUCUGGUUGUUAGGGUGUAACUUGAAUAAUACAGAUGAAAAACUUAAGGAAAAGAGAGUUAGGAUACCAGGUCUCUUCCGCUUGACUUAUGCAUUUCCCACACUAAUAGGUGAGGUUCACGCUAUCCCACCACUCUUAGGCCAGGGCGACUCAUAGAUGUGCUACAGAGGGUGGAAGGCGGUGUGCCCUUCAGCAAGGGAAGCCAGCCUGGCAGGCAGAGGAGGUGGCCAACAAGCCACACUUGCUGGCCAGCACAUGCUAGUGAGUUCCUGCUGCUGCUUGGAUUGGAGGAGGUGAGGCAAGAGGCUAGUGAAAACUCAUCCUGAUGGUCAGUCUGACAAGCAGUCAAGAUGGAGAACUGCAAAAAUCAGCAGUAUGGGUCUUCUGGGAGUCCCAGUGCCCAAUGACAGGCUCCACCAGGGAUGGCCAGCCCCUGUGGGCUGAGCUCCGCAUGCCUGGUCUGCAUUCCCAUCUCUCCUACUUCUUCACACAAGCUGGGGAAGCUGAAUGACCAAAAGGGCACCCAGGCGCCUGACUUGAUCAAAAACAAACAAAACUCUAAGUGAGCAUGUACAAGUGUGUAAAUUGGUGCUACACGGUGGCAUGACUGGGUAAUCAAAAGGGAUAUCCACCCCAGGCAUAUAUGAGGGGGAAUUUUGGAGUCAGAGAAACUUGGUGUGGUCCCCAGAUGCAGAGUUCAUUGGAGGCAAGCCACUGCUUCAGGACAGAUUUCUGGAGAGCAGUUGUCUGAGGCCAGGCCCUUACCCCUCUUUUCCUGUGUUGUUACCUGAUUCUGCCUUUGAUCUGGCAUUUAAUGUUUAUACCACUUCAGGAAUAAGACCAAUAGUUUGCUCUAUAAUCUCAUAACCCCCACUUCCCCGCUGGCCUCACACAGGUUAUUUUCUCUUCACAGGUAUUGAAAGAAGGUAGUAGCCUGAUCUUCAAGUAAAUAAGGGGGAGGGAUGAAAACUGUGAGGGAAGGGGAAAAGUGGGUUUUUGCUGUGAAAAGUGGGUCUUUGCUAUGAAAAAUUAAAGAACCUACUUAACAGAAGGGAGCUUUGGGGCCUGUUUGGGGCAGGCCUUCCAGAAUGCCGAGGGCUUCAAAUCUAGUGUGUCUUUCCAUCAGUGUUUCCUUCCUCAGUUUGAGAGGGCUUUUUGGCAUAGAACUGAAAAAAAUGCCCACUCAUUCAUGCCUCUGCCCACACCCAGUCUCUCUCCUCCAAGCGUUUGUCCAUUUCCUAAAUAGGAAAUUCCUAAUGGGUAACACAAGAAGGGGGAAGAAUAGCUCAGUGGUCUUCCCCUCACAUCUGCCUCAAGAGAGUUGUAAAAUAUAUGGCUCCUCCCACAGGCUUAGGUGGGCCUGAAAUUCUCACCAUGGAUCCAAAUAGUUGCAAAGAAUAUAAUGUCCAACAUACCAUAUAUAUUAACACAUUUAGAUAAAAUUGCUAAUCACCUUGUCACAUGUCCAGUGGAAUCUAGCAUAAUAUAUAUAUAUUUUUUUUUUUUUUUUUGACAGAGAGAGAGACAGAGCAUGAGCAAGGGAGGGGCAGAGAAAGAGAGACACACACACAGAAUCCGAAGCAGGCUCCAGGCUCCAAGCUGUCAGCACAGAGCCUGACGCGGGGCUCGAACUCACAGACUGAGAGAUGGUGACCUGAGCUGAAGCCAGACACUCCACCGACUGAGCCACCCAGGCACCCCUAAGUAGCAUAAUAUUUUGACACCCAUUAUUAACUUUUUAAAUGCACAACCUCUUUCUGAGCAGUUGGAAAUGUUGGGGCACCUGGGUGGCUCAGUGGGUUUAGCGUCCAGCUUUGGCUCAGGUCAUGAUCUCACAGUUCGUGGGCUUGAGCCCCACGUCAGGCUGCUGACAGCUUGGAUUCUAUGUCUCCCUCUCUCUCUGCCCCUCCCCUGCUCAUGCGCUCUCUCUCUCUCUCUCGUGCGCUCUCUCUCUCUCUCUCUCUCUCAAAAAUAAAUAAACAUUAAAAAAAAUUUUAAACAGUUGAAAAUGUUACAUUGCUCCUUUUUUUUUCUUUUGAGUUCAUAUUUUCAUUUUCUUCCCCCUAUAGAAUUUUUUCUUUUUUUAGUUCUCAACCCUGGCAGCAUCCUAAUGUAGUAUAUUUUUGCUCUUGGAAGUCUUUUCUUGAUCCAUCUAUUAUGCUUCUUUGCAAUAAAGUAUGUUCUUAAAGUAAAUUUUUAAUUUUCGAUCUCAGUGUUUGAAAUACCAUAUGAAUUAAGGUAAUACUACAAUCAUUAGAGAAGAUUGAUCAAAAUAAUAUAAAUAAUACAGUUUUUGGUAAAUAGAAAUAUUAAACGUAUAAAUUCUGUAAGUAAAAUUUAGCUGGAAAUGCUUCUCUUACAGAAAUGGUUAGGGGCUUUAUUUUCCCAACCUCAUGUUGAUGGAAGUUAUUCAUUGUUAUUAUGAGGCCAGGUUCCAUAUGAUUUCCAUUCCUUUAAAAAAAAAUUUAACAUAAAGAACUAAAAAGUCUUGUUCACAUAUAAAAGUAUGGGGACAGAAUAAGUAUAAGAAUGGAAAGAAUUUUAUUAUAACAACUUCACCCAAUUUUUAAAAUUUCUUCUUAAUUAUAUGCCAGAACUCACAUAGUGAGCUAUUAUUAAAUACUAUUUUAAAUAAUCUCAAGUGUAGAGUUAAUUCUUUAAUUUUGUUGAAGCAAAGAAUCAGAAACUACCUUAUUUGCAAAACUAUUUUUACACACUAGUUUCUUUCACUUUCUCAGUUCUGAGAAGUAUACCAAAAAAGGCUUUACAAAUUCUUAUGAAAUAACUAAUACUUAUACCUGUUAGAGGCAUCUUGUUUGUAAAACUCAAAUUGGAUGAAGCUGGAGUUAGAAACAAACCCACAGAAUUGGAAAUUAAAAGUCAAUAGGUUCUGAAUAAGACAUUUUCUCCAUUGUUUAUGUCAUCUGGAAGUGCAUUUAAAAAUUAUGACAAAGAGGGGUUCCUGGGUGGCUCAGUUGGUUAAGUGUUUGACUCUUGGUUUCAGCUCAUGGUUUGUGAAUUCGAGCCCUGCAUCAGACUCCAUGCUGAUAGUGCAGAGCCUGCUUGGGAUUCUCUCUCUCCCCACCCCCUCUGUCCCUCCCCCACUUGCUCUCUCUCUCCAAAAUAAAUAAACUUAAUUUUUUUUUAUUAUAACAAAGAGAUGGGCACUAAACUAUUGUACGUGUGUGUAUAAUUUCAUUUGGCCAUAGAAAAGGAUUAAUUUUAUAAUCAUGCAUUUGACAGGUGUAGAACAGUAUAUCAACAUCCAAGAGGGAGAAAUUAAUCCAAAAUAAAUGAACCUGGAUUUCUAAAGUUUCGGGUAUUACAACCAAGACUGCAUCUUGGAACAUUUUGUUUUGUGUCCAUACAUAAGUGGAUUUCUGCAUUUAAGAACACAAUUUAAUCUACUUAGUGGAAAUUAACAGCAAUAUGAAGAGAAUAUGUUAGAUCUUUACUCAGUGUAAGUUUACACUAUUUCUCAAUGCUAUGUGAAUUAUUUAUAGCAGAAUAUACAAAAUAUUUCCAUCAGACUGACUUGAAUCUAGUGAGUCUAUAAUAAAAAUAAAUAAAUAAGCAGAAAAGUAACAGUACAUCAUAGACCU